AAAGACCGUGGUUUUACAUUGUUUAUGUUGAAUGUUUAACCGUCCGUCUUAUUAAAAAAAAUUAUGAUUACUAUUUUUAUUGUUAUCAGAUGAUAAAACAUGGAUAGUACUUUAUGUGUGACUAUUUUUUUUAAAAAAAAUUCACAAAUUUUUUAAGUAAGAUAGAUAGUUAAACGUUAUAUAUGAAAACAUACAACUGUAGUUGAA
rnacentral:pre_miRNA from 1 species